ACUAUUAAUAGCAUAUGGUCACACAUUAAUUGCUUCAUGUGACCAUCAACCUUCCACCUCCAAUUGGAACCCUAAUCUCACCUGCUGCCAUACGUCCACCUUCACCUCGUAUCCUUGAUAAUUACCAGUUUCAACAGUGCAUCAACAUCGAAUUGAAGUUUGGUUGGACUGUGGAUAUUUGAAGGAAUGUUGAAUGUUGAUGCUGUUACGGCUGUUGUUCUUGGACUGUAUGUUCUCCGUAUAACCGGAGUCGUGACAUGGAAGGAAUGCUUGGCUGAAGCUGUUGCAUGGGAUACCCUUACAAGGUUUUUUGUACCUUAACGAAUAUUUGUCAGGUCAUUGUUUGACUUUUAAUUGCAAUCCACUCCCAAGUUCCUUUGACUUUUGUAAGACUGCAUCUGCAUACACUAGUUACUGCUCUGUAACUUUGACUUCUAAAUAGAUGGUGACCACGUUAGAACAAUCUACUUGCAAGAAAUGCGAAAAUGCGAAAGACUCUGAGAAAGACUCUGUCAGUUGCUUUGAUGCUACAUGUAGGUGAGAGUGCAACCAUUGAAAACUCAUGAAACCGGCUCGGGCUCAAAGCUGGAGUUGUCUAGCUCGCCACUUAAGUUUCUGGUCUUCACAAAGAUAACAAGCCUGAACGACAUACUUACAGUGGCAUAGCCAGGGAUUCUUUUUAGAUUGGUUCUUGUGCUAUUAAUAAAACGACAGGUUACUUGUAGUGGCGGAGCCAUGAAUAUUUUUCGUUGGGGUCAAAAAAACAAUUAUCGGAGUUUGUUUAUAUGAAGUACUUUUUACCGGGUUAUGUCAACAGGUUUUUAUGUUAGGUCAGGUCAGGUCAUCGAUGGUGUUUAUCCAAAUAUUACCCAAAAGUAACAUAAAUUAAUAAUGACUUCAAAUUAAGCUCCUUCUAUCAUUAGAAAAAAUCUACAUAAAAUUUUCCAAAUAGUAAUCUGUAUGCA
rnacentral:lncRNA from 1 species